rnacentral:tRNA from 1 species
GUUUUAAUAGUUUAAACAAAACAUUGGUCUUGUAAAUCAAAGUUAAGGGACACCCUUUUAGAACUU